UUGUGGAAGGAGGUUCUGAAACUUGUUCAACAAGACGUGAAGUUCACGCAUAGAAGGUUAUAAGAGAUAACCGAAAAAGAGACGUCAAAAAGAGACGUUAUGGUGAUCAGAGGGAGACACCAAACACAAAAAUGGAGGAUGCUAACCUCAGAGAAAAAUGAAGCAAAAGACGGUUACAAAGAUAAACCGAAGACGAUGUGAAGGAGAUUCACGCGUUAGACGUCAGGGAGACGUUAUUGUGAUCAGAGGGAGACACCAAACACAAAAAUGGAGGAUGUUAACCUCAGAGAAAAAUGAAGCAAAAGACGGUUACAAAGAUAACCGAAGAAGAUGUGAAAGAGUUCACACACCGAUUUGGUGAUCAAAAGGACACCAAGAAGAAAUAAGAAGAAAGCUCACUUAAAACAAAGUGAAUGAAAAAAGGUUGCA
rnacentral:lncRNA from 1 species